rnacentral:rRNA from 1 species
UACGGAGGAUCCAAGCGUUAUCCGGAUUCAUUGGGUUUAAAGGGUGCGUAGGCGGAAUGAUAAGUCAGUGGUGAAAGCCUGUUGCUUAACAACAGAACUGCCAUUGAUACUGUCAAUCUUGAGUACAUUUGAUGUGGGCGGAAUGUGUCAUGUAGCGGUGAAAUGCGCAGAUAUCAGGAGGAACACCGAUGGCGAAGGCAGCUCGCUGGGACGGUACUGACGCUGAGGCGCGAAAGCGUGGGGAGCAAACAGG